AGUGAACGCUGGCGGUAGGCCUAACACAUGCAAGUCGAACGGCAGCACAGGAGAGCUUGCUCUCUGGGUGGCGAGUGGCGGACGGGUGAGGAAUACAUCGGAAUCUACUCUGUCGUGGGGGAUAACGUAGGGAAACUUACGCUAAUACCGCAUACGACCUACGGGUGAACGCAGCGGACCUUGGGGCCUGGCGCGAUAGAAUCAGACGAUGUCGGAUUAGCUAGUUGGCGGGGUAAAGGCCCACCAAGGCGACGAUCCGUAGCUGGUCUGAGAGGAUGAUAAGCCACACUGGAACUGAGACACGGUCCAGACUCCUACGGGAGGCAGCAGUGGGGAAUAUUGGACAAUGGGCGCAAGCCUGAUCCAGCCAUACCGCGUGGGUGAAGAGGGCCUUCGGGUUGUAAAGCCCUUUUGUUGGGAAAGAAAUCCAGCUGGCUAAUACCCGGUUGGGAUGACGGUACCCAAAGAAUAAGCACCGGCUAACUUCGUGCCAGCCGCCGCCGUAA
rnacentral:rRNA from 1 species